rnacentral:antisense_RNA from 1 species
CUCUAUGGCAGCUGUGUGCGGGCAGACUUCGGUCUGGCCGGGUGCUCCUACUAAUCCGGUAUCUCACCCCGCACAUAGCUGCCACCUUU